rnacentral:lncRNA from 1 species
GUGAAAAUAAAAAUUUGAAGAAUUAAAUAUUAUAGCACUAAUAAGCAUUCGAUAUAGAAAGAAUAAUGUAUAAAAAAAGUUUUGAAAUAAAUAAAUAAGCAUCAUGAAUAUAAAUAUACGAUCGUCUAUUUGUUUUGUACUUGAAGUAGAGCAACUCGUACGUUAUUGUACUUUUGAACCUCUACAGUAAUUUGAGGAAAA